CGCGGGGUAGAGCAGUUGGUAGCUCGUUGAGCCCAUAAUCCAAAGGUCACAGGUUCACGCCCUGUUCCCGCAACAA
rnacentral:tRNA from 1 species